rnacentral:lncRNA from 1 species
CGCGAAGCAAGCAGACGAGGUCACACUGCAGCAGGCGGACGUGGUCCUGGUUCUGCAGCAGGAGGAUGGGUGGCUCUAUGGCGAGAGGCUCCGGGACGGAGAGACGGGAUGGUUCCCCGAGGACUUUGCCCGCUUCAUCACCAGCCGUGUGGCCGUGGAGGGCAAUGUCCGCAGGAUGGAGCGUCUGCGGGUGGAGACGGACGUGUAGCCCUGGCGAGGCCAGCCGGCGGCAGCACAGCCUGUCUCCAAUCAGCAAGUGGUCGUGCCUGGCUCUAGAGAGCGUGGGGAGCUGGUCUCAAGGACCCAGCAUGGUUCCCUGGGGCUUCCCAAGAGCCUGUGGCUGUGGUGCCGGGCUCCAGACACUUCACGGAAGGAAGAUCACAUGUCCCCAGAGAGGCACCCCCAGGCAAGCUCGAGGGGGCCACACCGUGUCCCAGGGAGCCCAGCCUAUUCCCGUUGGCUGGCUGGGCCCCUCAGCUGCUGGGCCCCACCUCCCCACUGCACCCAGGGGGCAACUCCACCUGGACUGAUGGGCACAGGAGGCACCAAUAGCGAUUAUUGGGGGCAAUGCGAGGUCUCCUCCUAUGCCCUUCCUACCCCUGAGUGGGACAAGAAGGGCCCUGAGUGCCCAGGAGUGCCCCACGUUCUGAGAAGGGGCCGGCCGGAGGGAGGGGACCCGGCAGGGAGAUUUCGGUUUUGAGGUUUCUAAAUACAUUAAAGUUAUUUCUUAAG